rnacentral:pre_miRNA from 1 species
AAUAAACCAAUUUUUCACUUUUUACAUGCAAUUUUUAACUCUUUGUCUUAUUUAAAUUUUUUGUGAUUGAUAUUUUUGUUUUUGUUAUAUGAUAAAUCAUGAAUAGUACUUUACGUGCGACUAAUUUUUUUCUAAUUUUCUGAAGUUUUUUCAAAUAAGACGGAUGGUCAAACGUUGAAUACAAAAACCGAAG